rnacentral:pre_miRNA from 1 species
UGACCUUGGAAAUCAAGUAUUGGUGGAGCCUGUGGGGUGAUUUGAGGCGACCCAUACUUGGUUUCAAGGGUCU